AGUGACCUACCUUUGACUCUGGGAUAAGCCUGGGAAACUGGGUCUAAUACCGGAUACGACCAAUCUCUGCAUGGGGUGUUGGUGGAAAGCGUUAUGGAGUGGUUUUAGAUGGGCUCACGGCCUAUCAGCUUGUUGGUGAGGUAAUGGCUUACCAAGGCGACGACGGGUAGCCGGCCUGAGAGGGUGACCGGCCACACUGGGACUGAGACACGGCCCAGACUCCUACGGGAGGCAGCAGUGGGGAAUAUUGCACAAUGGGCGCAAGCCUGAUGCAGCGACGCCGCGUGAGGGAUGACGGCCUUCGGGUUGUAAACCUCUGUUAGCAUCGAAGAAGCGAAAGUGACGGUAGGUGCAGAGAAAGCGCCGGCUAACUACGUGCCAGCAGCCGCGGUAAUACGUAGGGCGCGAGCGUUGUCCGGAAUUAUUGGGCGUAAAGAGCUUGUAGGCGGUUGGUCGCGUCUGCUGUGAAAGGCCGGGGCUUAACUCCGGUUUUGCAGUGGGUACGGGCUAACUAGAGUGCAGUAGGGGAGACUGGAAUUCCUGGUGUAGCGGUGGAAU
rnacentral:rRNA from 1 species